rnacentral:rRNA from 1 species
UACGUAGGGACCGAGCGUUGUCCGGAAUCAUUGGGCGUAAAGAGCGUGUAGGCGGCUCGAUAAGUCCGCUGUGAAAGUCCAGGGCUCAACCCUGGAAGGCCGGUGGAAACUGUCGGGCUAGAGUCCGGAAGAGGCGAGUGGAAUUCCCGGUGUAGCGGUGAAAUGCGCAGAUAUCGGGAGGAACACCAAUGGCGAAGGCAGCUCGCUGGGACGGUACUGACGCUGAGACGCGAAAGCGUGGGGAGCAAACAGG